rnacentral:rRNA from 1 species
GACGAACGCUGGCGGCGUGCUUAACACAUGCAAGUCGAACGGAAAGGCCUCUUUCGGGGGGGUACUCGAGUGGCGAACGGGUGAGUAACACGUGAGUAACCUGCCCUUGACUUUGGGAUAACUUCAGGAAACUGGGGCUAAUACCGGAUAGGAGCUCCUGCUGCAUGGUGGGGGUUGGAAAGUUUCGGCGGUUGGGGAUGGACUCGCGGCUUAUCAGCUUGUUGGUGGGGUAGUGGCUUACCAAGGCUUUGACGGGUAGCCGGCCUGAGAGGGUGACCGGCCACAUUGGGACUGAGAUACGGCCCAGACUCCUACGGGAGGCAGCAGUGGGGAAUAUUGCACAAUGGGUGGAAGCCUGAUGCAGCAACGCCGUGUGCGGGAUGACGGCCUUCGGGUUGUAAACCGCUUUCGCUCAUGACGAAGCUUUGUGUGACGGUAGUGGGUAAAGAAGCACCGGCUAACUACGUG